rnacentral:lncRNA from 1 species
AAACCUAAUCAAAUCCUAGUCAAAUCCUAAUCAAAUCCUAAUCAAACCUUAAUCAAAUCUUAGUCAAAUCUUAAUCAAAUCCUAAUCAAACCUUAAUCAAAUCCUAAUCAAAUCUUAAUCAAAUCCUAAUCAAACUCUAAACAAAUCCUAGUCAAAUUCUAAAUAAAUCCUAAAUAAAUCUUAACCAAAUCCUAUACAAAUCCUAAUCAAAUAUUAAAUAAAUUCUAAAAAUAUCCUAAAAAAAUCCUAAACAAAUCCUAAAUAAACCUCAACCAAAUCCUAAAUAAUUCCAAAUAAUUCUUAUAGUAAAUUUAAACCUCAAUAACUAAUGAAUGAAUUGUUGAUUUUAACUC